GGGGUGCAGCAGGCGCGAAAACUUUACAAUGCGGGAAACCGUGAUAAGGGGACACCGAGUGCCAGCAUCAUAUGCUGGCUGUCCAGGUGUGUAAAAUACACCUGUCAGCAAGGGCCGGGCAAGACCGGUGCCAGCCGCCGCGGUAACACCGGCGGCCCGAGUGGUGAUCGUGAUUAUUGGGUCUAAAGGGUCCGUAGCCGGUUUGGUCAGUCCUCCGGGAAAUCUGACGGCUCAACCGUUAGGCUUUCGGGGGAUACUGCCAGGCUUGGAACCGGGAGAGGUAAGAGGUACUACAGGGGUAGGAGUGAAAUCUUGUAAUCCCUGUGAGACCACCUGUGGCGAAGGCGUCUUACCAGAACGGGUUCGACGGUGAGGGACGAAAGCUGGGGGCACGAACCGGAUUAGAUACCCGGGUAGUCCCAGCCGUAAACGAUGCUCGCUAGGUGUCAGGCAUGGCGCGACCGUGUCUGGUGCCGCAGGGAAGCCGUGAAGCGAGCCACCUGGGAAGUACGGCCGCAAGGCUGAAACUUAAAGGAAUUGGCGGGGGAGCACAAGGGCGAAUCGCG
rnacentral:rRNA from 1 species